UAAUUGCACAGAAGUUUUAAAACCAUUCAUGCUUCAAAAUGCUCGAACAUUGACUGCAUAUCAAUAUUAUUGGCAUUACAGUCUGGGCUGGACUGUUUAUCCUGUAAAGCAAUAAUCAGGGUCAUCAGUUCAAAUCGUCAGCCUGUGACGCAAGUGCACAGAAACCAGGCUCAUUGCAUUGUGGUUGCCGGUGCUUGGAUAGAAACAGAAACCACAUGACUGUUCAGUCAGCAACGUGAUAUUCAGCCAGGGAUCAAGCUUGAAAGAUCAGAAGCUGUUGAUUUGAUACCACCCACAUAUCAGCCAUGUCAUCGACAUCCCAUAAACAUAAACAUUUUGUGGAGGAGCCCAUGGGUGAGAAACCUGUGAUGGCUCUUGCAGGUAUAUGAGAGAUCCUUGGUAAAAAAUUUAAGGAAAAAGGCUUUGACAAGGCAUACGCUGUCCUCGGGUAGUUUCUGGUGCUAGGGAAAGACAAGAAGCGCUUCGGGGACUGGCUGAAGGACACAUGCGGGGCUAACACCGAGCAACAAGGUGAACGCUAUCGCUGUCUGAAAGAAUGGUGUAACUCCUUUGUAUAAGAUUGUUUAUUUUAUUCAGAGGAACUAUAAAAUCUGCAUGUCCAGGCUGUGCCACGUUCUUGUCCAUAUCACCAGCUGUUUAAAGAUGUAACUGUUGCGUAGCAGCUUUUUGUUAGGAAACACUGACUGGCGUGUUUGCAUUUUACUGUGAAACUCCUCAGUUUUUAUAAUGCUGUUAAUACAAAAUAAAAGGCAACUUUCAGA